AUACGUAGGGGACAAGCGUUGUCCGGAAUCACUGGGCGUAAAGGGCGCGUAGGCGGUUUUAUAAGUCAGAUGUGAAAGGUACCGGCUCAACCGGUGACGUGCAUUUGAAACUGUAAGACUUGAGUACUGGAGAGGCAAGUGGAAUUCCUAGUGUAGCGGGGAAAUGCGUAGAUAUUAGGAGGAACACCGGUGGCGAAGGCGGCUUGCGGGACAGAUACUGACGCUGAGGUGCGAAAGCGUGGGGAGCGAACAGGAUUAGAUACCCUGGUAGUCCACGCCGUAAACGAUGAUGACUAGGUGUUGGGGAAACUCAGUGCCGCAGUUAACACAUUAAGUCAUCCGCCUGGGGAGUACGACCGCAAGGUUGAAACUCAAAGGAAUUGACGGGG
rnacentral:rRNA from 1 species